CCGGAUAUCCAUUUCGUACCAAUUUCAAAGCUUUGAGGGCUGAGAUUACACAAAACGGUAAUAUUUCCCGUAAAUACAACUUCUGCUCCCUCUGAACUCUGAAGAAUCACUUCUUUCUUAAAACAAUCCACCUUUGCUCAAUGUGCAGACAACCAAUCCAUACCCAAGAUCAAAUCAAAGCCCCGAAUCUCCAAAGGGAUUAAAUCACCCAUAAAUUCUUCUUCCUCAACUUUAAUACCACAGUCUCUAUAAUACGUAUUUCUUACUAACUGCUCACCCAGAAGAGUAUGCACUACAAUCUCUUCCUCUACUGGUGACAGGUUCCUAUCUGAGAAUGAUGCAAAUGAUAUGCUCACGUAUGAUCUAUCGGAGCCCGAAUCUAUCAAAAC
rnacentral:lncRNA from 1 species